AUGCAACCACAAGUUGUCGAAUGAAAGAUGCUUGUUUUAUCGUUUUCCGUCCGAUGUUACCCAGCGGAGACUCUGGGUUUGUGCCGUAAGGUAAGCUCACACAAAGAUGAUUUCCAUGUGAAUACCGUAUUUGGGUGAUUCUUCAACUAGGGGCACUUUUAGCCUUGUGAAUUUGAAAUUAAAAAACUUGCUCAAAAGUCAUGUAACACAGUCUGAUAAGUUUAAACAAUUUAGUUCCUGUCUCCGCCUCCCAAAAUGUCUAGUGUAAUCGGAUUGGUCAGAUGACUACUCAACUGUUAUUGGUCACCUGGGUUCGGCGUGUGUUUGAAAGGUUACGCCCCUGACUACGCGUGGGUUGACACCAGUUCUGACUGAGAGUCACAGCCUCAGAGGCAACGUAAACAAGCGUUAUAUCUAUAAACGAUGGUGUCUGUACUGCCUUACCACUUCGAGCUCGAUCCAGAGAGUUCAGAAGGCCGUUACGAUAUAAACGAUCUCCGUCAAUGAAUGCAAUUGGAUUUAACUUUUUUAGGUGUCCUUAGCUCUGCCAGAAUGCUAAACGAAGACGAAAAUGUGUUGCAAAGACAUCCAAAAGGUUUUAAGGAGAAUGCAACAGGUUCCAGGGCCUCUUACCUGCGUGAUUCAUCAUCCAGGUUUUGCACAAAUUGUCUAAAUCCCUACACACAGAACAUUUAUUGUACCGACUAUAAGCCUUUGAGGCGCAUGACUAGAAUAUGCUUGGAGCUUCCUGAUCGGAAUGUUGGCUUCCGACGACCCCUGCACUGAAGAUGGCAUGCAAUCACGUCCUCCUUUGAAGGUCUCUUAAACUGUGAUGCCAGGUCCAUUGGAAUCGGGGUUUCCUUCAG